GGAAAAGGGAUGGCGCUGGAGCGUCGGGCCCGUACCCGGCCGUCGCUGGCAGUGCGAGGCCCGCGGGGGCUAGGCCGCGACGAGUAGGACGGCCACUGCGGUGCGCCUCGAAGCCUGGGGCGCAGGCCUGGGUGGAGCCGCCGCAGGUGCAGAUCUUGGUGGUAGUAGCAAAUAUUCAAACGAGAGCUUUGAAGGCUGAAGUGGAGCAGGGUUCCACGUGAACAGCAGUUGAACAUGGGUCAGUCGGUCCUAAGCGAUAGGCGAGUGCCGUUCUGAAAGAAAUCCAGAGUGGCGGAGACGGGCGCCGCGAGGCUCCCAGUGCGGUGACGCAACCGGUCCCGGAGAAGCCGUCGGGAGCCCCGGGGAGAGUUCUCUUCUUUGUGAAGGGCUGGGUGCCCUGGAAUGUGUUCGCCCCGAGAGAGGGGCGGUGCUGGCCGACGCGGCUGGGAAUGGCUCCUGGUUUAACCUGGAUGUGAGAGGCAUCGUGGGGGACAGGAGCGAGCUCUUCGACGGCCCCUCUGGGGAGCGGGGCAGGGAGGAAGAGGGCAGAGCCAUCACCAGAGCAGAGUUUUGCUGGGGACCGGAGCAAAGAGGUGUUUCCUCGUGGUCGCAGGGACACGGGGCCGCACGUGAGCCCAGGGCCAACACACCCACCACGUCCAGGGUGUAGAAACAUCUGUUAAAAAUUUUAUCCUCACACGAGCGGGUUACACUAGGUAUUGCUUUAUUCACAACUCAGAGUUGGGCCAUCACCUCAGCGAGUGGCAAAGCUUAACUCGCUAGACCAGUUUAUAGACAUUUAUUAAACCGAUGACAUCAAGUCUAGAAUCUUCAUAAGUUUCUAAGCAACC
rnacentral:ncRNA from 1 species